rnacentral:lncRNA from 1 species
UUUUUAUAGUAGCUCCUUUUUAUACAAUAGACCUCGCAAAUAUCGGUGUUUUCUUGUCAUUUUACUUGUCUAACCAACCAGCAAUUGUACCGCGGCAUACACAGUGCGCGGUGCGGCGGGAACCAAUCAUACUGGUUAUCGCGAAGACAACUUCCCAAUCAAUCAAGCGAACUUGUAAAAAAAAA